rnacentral:misc_RNA from 1 species
CGGACUACUCGGGUUUCUAAUCCUGUUUGCUCCCCAUGCUUUCGUACCUCAGCGUCAGUAUUAGGCCAGAUGGCUGCCUUCGCCAUCGGUAUUCCUCCAGAUCUCUACGCAUUUCACCGCUACACCUGGAAUUCUACCAUCCUCUCCCAUACUCUAGCAUCGCAGUUUUGAAUGCAAUUCCCAAGUUAAGCUCGGGGAUUUCACAUCCAACUUACGAAGCCGCCUACGCACGCUUUACGCCCAGUAAAUCCGAUUAACGCUCGCACCCUCUGUAUUACCGCGGCUGCUGGCAC